AUUGAACGCUGGCGGCAGGCCUAACACAUGCAAGUCGAGCGGAUGAAGGGAGCUUGCUCCUGGAUUCAGCGGCGGACGGGUGAGUAAUGCCUAGGAAUCUGCCUGGUAGUGGGGGAUAACGUCCGGAAACGGGCGCUAAUACCGCAUACGUCCUGAGGGAGAAAGUGGGGGAUCUUCGGACCUCACGCUAUCAGAUGAGCCUAUGUCGGAUUAGCUAGUUGGUGGGGUAAAGGCCUACCAAGGCGACGAUCCGUAACUGGUCUGAGAGGAUGAUCAGUCACACUGGAACUGAGACACGGUCCAGACUCCUACGGGAGGCAGCAGUGGGGAAUAUUGGACAAUGGGCGAAAGCCUGAUCCAGCCAUGCCGCGUGUGUGAAGAAGGUCUUCGGAUUGUAAAGCACUUUAAGUUGGGAGGAAGGGCAGUAAGUUAAUACCUUGCUGUUUUGACGUUACCAAAAGAAUAAGCACCGGCUAACUUCGUG
rnacentral:rRNA from 1 species